rnacentral:rRNA from 1 species
CAAGUCGAACGGUAACAGGCCGCAAGGUGCUGACGAGUGGCGAACGGGUGAGUAAUGCAUCAGAACGUGCCCAGUCGUGGGGGAUAACGCAGCGAAAGCUGCGCUAAUACCGCAUACGAUCUAUGGAUGAAAGCGGGGGACCGUAAGGCCUCGCACGAUUGGAGCGGCCGAUGUCAGAUUAGGUAGUUGGUGGGGUAAAGGCUCACCAAGCCAACGAUCUGUAGCUGGUCUGAGAGGACGACCAGCCACACUAGGACUGAGACACGGCCCAGACUCCUACGGGAGGCAGCAGUGGGGAAUUUUGGACAAUGGGCGCAAGCCUGAUCCAGCAAUGCCGCGUGCAGGAAGAAGGCCUUCGGGUUGUAAACUGCUUUUGUACGGAACGAAACGGCUCUGGUUAAUACCUGGGGCUAAUGACGGUACCGUAAGAAUAAGCACCGGCUAACUACGUGCCAGCAGCCGCGGUAAUACGUAGGGUGCAAGCGUUAAUCGGAAUUACUGGGCGUAAAGCGUGCGCAGGCGGUUUUGUAAGACAGGCGUGAAAUCCCCGGGCUCAACCUGGGAAUGGCGCUUGUGACUGCAAAGCUGGAGUGCGGCAGAGGGGGAUGGAAUUCCGCGUGUAGCAGUGAAAUGCGUAGAUAUGCGGAGGAACACCGAUGGCGAAGGCAAUCCCCUGGGCCUGCACUGACGCUCAUGCACGAAAGCGUGGGGAGCAAACAGGAUUAGAUACCCUGGUAGUCCACGCCCUAAACGAUGUCAACUGGUCGUUGGGUCUCUUCUGACUCAGUAACGAAGCUAACGCGUGAAGUUGACCGCCUGGGGAGUACGGGCCGCAAGGUUGAAACUCAAAGGAAUUGACGG